rnacentral:misc_RNA from 1 species
AUGACGACACCUAUUCGCAAAAGCCAUCCCCUUUUUAAAAUUGCUAACGGAGCUUUAGUAGAUAUACCUAUUCCAAGAAAUAUUUCAACAUUCUGAAAUUUUGGAUCUUUACUAGGCUUAUGUUUAGUUGUCCAAAUUGUUACUGGUCUUUUUCUUGCUAUACACUAUACUGCUCAUAUUGAUUUAGCUUUCUCAAGUGUUGCUCAUAUUUGUCGAGAUGUAAAUUACGGGUGACUUCUUCGUACACUCCAUGCUAAUGGAGCUUCCUUUUUCUUUAUUUGCCUUUACUUACAUAUUGGACGUGGUAUGUAUUAUGGAUCCUACUUAUUUUUUCAUGCUUGAAUAGUGGGUGUUGUUAUUUUAUUCAUAGUUAUAGCAACAGCUUUUCUAGGUUAUGUUUUACCUUGGGGUCAAAUAUCUUUCUGGGGUGCAACAGUUAUUACUAACCUUUUUUCUGCUAUCCCUUAUAUUGGCACUGAACUUGUACAAUGAAUUUGAGGUGGAUUUGCAGUUGAUAAUGCAACACUAACUCGAUUUUUUACAAUUCAUUUUUUGUUACCAUUUUUAGUAGCAGCAGCGACUCUUAUCCAUAUUUUAUUUAUUCAUCAAACUGGAGCUAACAACCCACUUGGAAUUGCAAGACAUAUUGAUAAAGUUCCAUUCCAUCCUUAUUUCACUUUUAAAGAUGUUGUUGGAUUUAUAGUUAUACUAACCGCAUUAAUUUUAUUGACUCUUCUAAAUCCCUACCUUCUUGGAGACCCUGACAACUUUGUCCCGGCUAAUCCACUCGUUACACCAGCACAUAUUCAACCUGAAUGAUACUUUUUAUUUGCAUAUGCUAUCUUGCGAUCAAUUCCAAACAAAUUAGGAGGAGUAAUCGCCCUGGCUAUAUCAAUCGCAAUUUUAAUAAUUUUACCUUUUACCCAUACUUCUAAAUUUCGAAGAUUAACUUUUUAUCCUUUAAAUCAAAUUUUAUUUUGAUCUUUAAUUGCAAUUGUUAUUCUUCUAACCUGAAUUGGAGCUCGACCUGUUGAGGAUCCUUUUGUUAUUACAGGGCAAAUUCUAACAGUAGUGUAUUUCCUUUACUACAUUGUCAAUCCUCUUUCACUUUUAUUGUGAGAUAAACUGCUUGAUU